rnacentral:tRNA from 1 species
UAAAAGAUAAGCUAAAAAAGCUAAUGGGCUCAUAACCCGUCUAUGAAUUUAUCUCUUUUAU